rnacentral:rRNA from 1 species
UGGGGAAUUUUGGACAAUGGGCGAAAGCCUGAUCCAGCAAUGCCGCGUGUGUGAAGAAGGCCUUCGGGUUGUAAAGCACUUUUGUCCGGAAAGAAAUCCUUGGCUCUAAUACAGUCGGGGGAUGACGGUACCGGAAGAAUAAGCACCGGCUAACUACGUGCCAGCAGCCGCGGUAAUACGUAGGGUGCAAGCGUUAAUCGGAAUUACUGGGCGUAAAGCGUGCGCAGGCGGUUUGCUAAGACCGAUGUGAAAUCCCCGGGCUCAACCUGGGAACUGCAUUGGUGACUGGCAGGCUAGAGUAUGGCAGAGGGGGGUAGAAUUCCACGUGUAGCAGUGAAAUGCGUAGAGAUGUGGAGGAAUACCGAUGGCGAAGGCAGCCCCCUGGGCCAAUACUGACGCUCAUGCACGAAAGCGUGGGGAGCAAACAGGAUUAGAUACCCUGGGUAGUCCACGCCCUAAACGAUGUCAACUAGUUGUUGGGGAUUCAUUUCCUUAGUAACGUAGCUAACGCGUGAAGUUGACCGCCUGGGGGAGUACGGUCGCAAGAUUAAAACUUAAAUGAAUUGACGGGGUCAUAGCUGUUUCCU